rnacentral:rRNA from 1 species
UACGUAGGGUGCGAGCGUUAAUCGGAAUUACUGGGCGUAACGCGUGCGCAGGCGGUUUUGUAAGCCGGAUGUGAAAUCCCCGGGCUUAACCUGGGAAUGGCAUUCGGGACUGCAAGGCUGGAGUGCGGCAGAGGAGACUGGAAUUCCUGGUGUAGCAGUGAAAUGCGUAGAUAUCCGGAGGAACACCGGUGGCGAAGGCGGCUUCCUGGACCGACACUGACGCUGAGGCGCGAAAGCUAGGGGAGCAAACGGG